AUGAGGAAAACGGAGGCAAAGGAGAAGUCACAACAAAACCCCUGAAAGUUUCAGGCAUAAUUGGCAUUGUGGUGGGCUGUCUUGCCUUACUGACACUUGUGCUUGUGCUGAUACUGUGCAGACACAAACUCCCCUGGACAAAAGCGUUUUGUGCUGCGGAGGGAUCAUCAGAGCAAAGGACAACUGCUGAACAUAAUAGAGAAGUG